GAUCACUGCUAUUGGGAUUCGACUAAGCCAUGCGAGUCGAGAGGGUUCGGCCCUCGGCGAACUGCUCAGUAACACGUGGAUAAUUUGCCCUUAGGUGGAGGAUAACCUCGGGAAACUGAGAAUAAUACUCCAUAGAUCUAGGAUGCUGGAAUGCACUUAGAUUGAAAGUUCCGGCGCCUAAGGAUAAGUCUGCGGACUAUCAGAUUGUAGUCAGGGUAAAGACCUGACUAGCCUACAACGGAUACGGGUUGUGAGAGCAAUAACCCGGGGACGAUAUCUGAGACACGAUAUCGGGCCCUACGGGGCGCAGCAGGCGCGAAACCUUCACAAUGUGCGAAAGCGCGAUGAGGGGAUCCCAAGUGCUUGCUCGUAAGAGUAAGCUGUUUUUAUGUCUAAAAGGCAUAGAGAGUAAGGGCUGGGUAAGACGGGUGCCAGCCGCCGCGGUAAUACCUGCAGCUCAAGUAGUGAUCGCUAUUAUUGGGCCUAAAACGUUCGUAGCCGGUUUGGUAAAUGCCUGGGUAAAUAGUGUAGCUUAACUAUACGAAUUCCGGGUAGACUGCCAAACUUGAGACCGGGAGAGGCUAGAGGUACUCCUGGGGUAGAGGUGAAAUUCUGUAAUCCUGAGGGGACCACCAGUGGCGAAGGCGUCUAGCUAGAACGGGUCUGACGGUGAGGAACGAGGCCCUGGGUCGCGAACCGGAUUAGAUACCCGGGUAGUCCAGGGUGUAAACGCUGCUUGCUUGAUGUUAGUUGGGCUCCGAGCCCAAUUAGUGUCGGAGAGAAGUUGUUAAGCAAGCUGCCUGGGAAGUACGAUCGCAAGAUUGAAACU
rnacentral:rRNA from 1 species